rnacentral:lncRNA from 1 species
GUCCUAAGGGGGAAGUUGAGAUAGACUGACUGCCACCUAGUGACAGUCCUCUAAUGUAGGAGGGAACUGGAAUUGACCUUGGCUUGCACAACUCAUGAUCAUAAUUACCUUCUAAUUAAGGUUCAGAGCCCGACGACUUGAAGUGAGCUACAUAAUAAGUGGGGACCUGAAUCCGUGUGUUUCUGUUCCACAGGAGAGCCCACUGUGUGAGAGCACACAUCCCUACUGUGCCUUCUAGAGGAUCUGUUAGCAGGGCAGGAACACAUAAAGCCUGUUCCAGAAGUGGCCACAGAAAUGUCCACAGGCCGUGCUGUCUGACAAGGGCACAGGGAGCAAGAAGGCCCUGAUCUAGAUUCUUCCGUGGUUGUGGGGAGAGAACGAAGUGAGAGGUUCUGUGUGUUCAUGAAAUACAGCCUCCUCAAAUGAGGUAAAUAUCCUUUCACAAUAAGGUCACCCCAAGGUAUUGUGGAGUGUUUCUGCAAAGGAAGUA